GCUGUUAUCACCACUACAAGAGGGAGCUGGCCUAAUGUGUCUCUGAGCGAGGCACAAACAACAAUUUGUUCGAAACAGGAAGUCCUUGAGCUUCAGUAUUGCAGGUAUUAACAUAAAACACCCCAAAGCGCUUGUUGCAAAGCUCAACAACAUGAUUUCUGUCCCUUGAUGUGGUA